rnacentral:lncRNA from 1 species
UUCACAUACAUAUCGUAUCUUAAUUCAGCUUCUUUCUGCCUCAUACUCUGUGCUGUGGAAAUUUUGAAAAUAGCUUAAAAUUUAGUGAUGAUAGCAGCAGUGCAUUCCGCUUUAAAAACCUGAAGGACUCCAGUUGCCCUUCAGAUUAAGUACCCCCCAUUCUCUCUGAGGGGUCACGCUGGUUCUUUGUUGUGUCGUGUGGGCCGUCUCUUUGUUUCUGAGGGUGGGCUCUAGUGCCCGGCUCCGUAGUUGUGCAUGGCGGUGGU